rnacentral:lncRNA from 1 species
UGUGUUUUUUUUUUCAUUUAUUAUAUAAAAGAAAAAAUUAAUGCAGUUUUUGUACACAUUUAAAUUCCAUAAAACAACCCAUAGAAAUUAGGAUACUGUAUUCAUGCACUCUGCAUUUUUUGUUGUUGUUGUUGUUAAAUGUCUUUGUUCACAAAAAUAACACCACAUUUUUUUUCUUUAAAGCCACUAAGCGGAGGGAGAACAAAGCAUGCAGUACAUUUGCAUAGUGUAUUUUCCCCAGCAUGCCUUGUAGAACGCUACGCAUAUCUAUGUAACAAAAAUGAAAGGGUCAAAUUAUUGAAAUAAAUAAGCAAAGGAAAAUAAGUUAUUUGACAAAGGCAUUUCCCCCACCACAUCAGCAGAGACACAGGAAUAGCCUGGGAUAUCAACAGCCCUCAGAAUGGGGGUAUCUUUUAAUAUCAUUUUGCCAUAGUUAUUUUUAGUAUGUGUCCUAUUAAUAACAUUAUUUUUAAUCCCUCCCACCUCUUAAAAAUACAGCUAAUAGCUUUAAUUUAUGCUUCAAAUAGUAUCAAGUACAAAACAAAACAAAACAAAAAUAAUCCCUACUUAAUAUUUUUCCAUGGGGACAUUUUACUGAUCUCUAACUUGAGGCUGGGAAAAACAUAAACUUUCGAACAUCCAAAGGCCAGAGGAGCCCUGCGAGCUCACCAGCUGUGCCAUCUGUUACCAAAGGAGAAGAAACAGGAACAGAAAAUAGAAUAAUAUAGUAUGAGUCGUAACACAAAAUAAAGUUCAUAUGUUUUAUGUAAAGGAAUAAAAUAAGUAAAUUACACUCACAGAUUGCAAGGCUAUGAAAUAAAUUGCUGGAAAAUAUCAAGCAGCAGAAUUACAAAUAUGAGAGAUGAAAUAAAUUGGUAAGACAGAGAACCAAAUCUACAUAAGUCUAAAAAACAGGACUGCCAAAUUUAACAGUGGGUUUUGUUGUAAGAGUUACAGCCCUUAAUUAAGAUUAUCUGAUGAGAUACGUCCUAACCUUCUCAUGAUACACCUUCAUUACAUGCAGCAUUUUGUCUUAAGUUAUCCACAAGUAAAGACAUUGCUAUCAGAGGAUUAUUUCAUUGGAGAAAGGUCCUUUUAACAAAAGAAGAAACCUUAAAGAGUAAUUUCUGAAUGCUGUAGCUGUCUGCCCAUAUAAGCCAGUUUUACGAUUUUGAUAAACCAGAUUGCUUAACUCAACAAGAAGUUAUUCUUAAUGUCUGUCCAGCAGCUCUUAAGUUACCUGAUUCUAUCAUCAUUAUCAUUUCAAAGAAAAGGACUGUUGUUUGCCAGGUAGACACAGCUGGAGUAAGUAACUUAACAGUUACAGUGUUGACAAUAUUUAAAGAUGUAAGGAACUGAUAAACAUUUUAUUACAUGAUUUCCUGCAGUUUUUACUCAUACAAGUCAUUCAAGGAUUAGAUGUAUAUCAUUAAAAAUGUAACACUGUCAUGAGAGACAAAGGCAAAUAUAAAGGAGUAAAGGUGAUGUAAUCAUGUAUUUGAAAUGUUGAUAUGAGGUUUGGUGCAAUUACAUGGGAGUUGCAUACAAUGCAGAUCCUUACCCAGUGGCCACAGCAUGCCCUUAGUACCCCUAGAAGUCAAGGAUCAACCAACUCUGCCUUUAAACAUCUAGUCUCUGGAUUUCUCUUCCUUAGACCUGAGCUAGAGGCUACAUUUGGCACAGAGGUAGUUCCUUUCGCUUUGCUUUGUUCCCUAGGAUGGCUUCUUGUUAAACUCACGCCAUGAGAAGCUGUGGAUCGAUUUCAAGAAAACCUAGCUGACGUUGAAGAAAUGAGAACAUGCUGGGAGCAUUUGAGAACAGUGUGACCUCUAAAGGGCAGGCGUGUCUGAACACUUCCAACCCCGCACACGGCUGGCAGAAUGGACACUCUCACCAGGACUUUCCCCUCCAAACAUAGACUGUUUUCUCUAGAAAAGAGCCUCAAAGCCUAUGUCGGGAGUCAUGGCUGCACCCCCCGGGCGAUCCUCGGUUCCUAUGGGGCUUAUAAGUGUCCUGGUACGAGUCCGGGUAAUCUUCUUCCACCAGAGGGUAGUGGUCUCGGCUGUGCUGGGAGCUGGAAGACAAGCGGUUCCUACUCUUGCGGGCCCUCUCAUUGUGGUAAUUUUCAUCCGAGGUCAUUAGGCUUCGUCUUUCAAUUGGAGAAUUCUCUGUAGAAUGGUUGCUGUGUCUCAUUCGCUGACUCUAAGAAUAUCAGACAGUUCACUGGUUAGAUAAGGUCAGCUUCAUUUAGCUAAACAUGCUAACGCGUGUGUGUGUGUGUGCAGUAACAGGGUCUAUACAACGAGCUGCUGUCUGACCUAAUAAAGCAUUUUGAUUCACAAACGUUCUGCUUAGAAUACCUGGCCUUUUUCUUUGGGGUGCAACAUACAUAGAUGCUUUAUUACUGUUAGAUUAUGAAUGUAAGUUUCUGAUAUUGAAUGACUGUGCUUCCUGUG